rnacentral:rRNA from 1 species
GACAGAGGGUGCAAACGUUGUUCGGAAUUACUGGGCGUAAAGCGCGUGUAGGCGGCUAAGUAAGUCGGGCGUGAAAUCCCACGGCUCAACCGUGGAAGUGCACUCGAAACUGCAUAGCUAGAGUCCUGGAGAGGAAGGUGGAAUGCUUGGUGUAGAGGUGAAAUUCGUAGAUAUCAAGCGGAACACCGGUGGCGAAGGCGGCCUUCUGGACGAUGACUGACGCUGAGACGCGAAAGCGUGGGGAGCAAACAGG